rnacentral:tRNA from 1 species
GGUCCCGUAGCUCAGGUGGAUAGAGCCGCAGCCUCCUAAGCUGUGGGUCGGAGGUUCGAGUCCUCUCGGGACCG